rnacentral:rRNA from 1 species
GAUGAACGCUAGCGGCAGGCCUAAUACAUGCAAGUCGAACGGUGUAGCAAUACACAGUGGCGCACGGGUGCGUAACACGUAUGCAACCUACCUUACAUUGGGGGAUAGCCUUUCGAAAGGGAGAUUAAUACCGCAUAAGACAGUAACUAGGCAUCUAGUAGCUGUUAAAGAUUUAUCGAUGUAAGCUGGGCAUGCGUCCAAUUAGUUAGUUGGCGAGGUAAUGGCUCACCAAGACGAUGAUUGGUAGGGGAACUGAAAGGUCAAUCCCCCACACUGGCACUGAGAUACGGGCCAGACUCCUACGGGAGGGAGCAGUAGGGAAUAUUGGGCAAUGGGCGCAAGCCUGACCCAGCCAUGCCGCGUGCAGGAAGAAGGCGUUAUGCGUUGUAAACUGCUUUUAUACAGGAAGGAACGACCCUUGCGAGGGGCAUUGACGGUACUGUAUGAAUAAGCACCGGCUAACUCCGUGCCAGCCGCCGCGGUAACAC